rnacentral:rRNA from 1 species
UACGUAGGGGGCAAGCGUUGUCCGGAAUCAUUGGGCGUAAAGCGCGUGUAGGCGGCUCGGUAAGUCCGCUCUGAAAGUCCAGGGCUCAACCCUGGGAUGCGGGUGGAUACUGCCGAGCUCGAGUCCGGAAGAGGCGAGUGGAAUUCCUGGUGUAGCGGUGAAAUGCGCAGAUAUCAGGAGGAACACCAAUGGCGAAGGCAGCUCGCUGGGACGUGACUGACGCUGAGACG